GCACCACUAGAAAGAUGGCGGAGCAAGAGCUGGAGCGCAGUGUCGGGAUCUCGGCUCGGUGCAACCUCCGCCUCCCGGGUUCAAGCGAUUCUCCUGCCUCAGUCUCCCGAGUAGCUGGGAUUACAGGCGUGCGCCACCACGCCCAGCUGAUUUUUUAUUUUUAGUAGAAACGGGGGUUUCACCAUGUUGGUCAGGCUGGUCUCGAACUCCUGACCUCAGGUAAUCCACCCACCUCGGCCUCCCAGAGUGCUGGGAUUACAGGCUUGAGCCACCGAGCCCGGCCAAGUGUUCUUUUCUAAAUGUUAUCUCUGAUCUCAAUUUUCUGCAUCAGGCAAAGAAAAAUCCCUUUGGUUCCAGAAAAUCUCCUGAAAAAGAGGAAGGCUUAUCAAGCCCUCAAAGCCACCCAGGCAAAGCAGGCACUUUUGGCAAAGAAGGAGGUAAUGGUGGGGAACCAAGAGAAAGUAAUUAGAAUUUUUAUUUGG
rnacentral:lncRNA from 10 species